rnacentral:rRNA from 1 species
CCUGGCGGCCGUAGCGCGGUGGUCCCACCUGACCCCAUGCCGAACUCAGAAGUGAAACGCCGUAGCGCCGAUGGUAGUGUGGGGUCUCCUGGGUAUCAGCACCACUUUUU